GGUGAAACUCACCCUGUGGGCCCAGGACAGUCUGGACUGACAAGGAAAACUCUAGGUCGUAACCUUUUUUGGUUGAUGCUAAGGCGAAGGUGAAGAAGGCUCUCCUCAAAUGACUCGUCUCACGCACCUCAGUCUUCCUUCCCCUGGA
rnacentral:lncRNA from 1 species